GUCCCCGUAGCUCAACUGGAUAGAGUGUCGGCCUCCGAAGCCGAAGGUUGCAGGUUCGAACCCCGCCGGGGAUA
rnacentral:tRNA from 1 species